rnacentral:rRNA from 1 species
ACGCCUCUAAGUCAGAAUCCGUGCUAGAAACGAUGAUGUUGGUCCCGCACGUACGAGUUGUGUUUAAAUAGAGCUUUGCUCGUGAACCAAAUCUGGUCGGCUGGGCCAACCGAGCGGAAAUGCUUGGUUGGUUUGUCGGCGUAUUGCAAUCAUCAUAUGGGCGGGGGUGAAUCCUUUGCAGACGACUUGAAUGGGAACGGGGUACUGUAAGCAGUAGAGUAGCCUUGUUGCUACGAUCUGCUGAGGUUAAGCCCUUGUUCUAUAGAUUUGU